GGUUUCAAGUAGAUGUUAGCUGCUAUGAACUAUGACUGUUUUGCGUGUUCCAAAAUUAAAAUAGGAAGUAAAUUUUUGAAUUUUUUUCUUUUCUAGGGAGAAGGUGAUAUUCAUGAAAAUGUGGACACAGACUUGCCAGGCAGCCUGGGGCAGAGUGAAGAGAAGCCCGUGCCUGCUGCGCCUGUGCCCAGCCCGGUGGCCCCGGCCCCAGUGCCAUCCAGAAGAAAUCCCCCUGGCGGCAAGUCCAGCCUCGUCUUGGGUUAGCUCUGACUGUCCUGAACGCUGUCGUUCUGUCUGUUUCCUCCAUGCUUGUGAACUGCACAACUUGAGCCUGACUGUACAUCUCUUGGAUUUGUUUCAUUAAAAAGAAGCACUUUAUGUA
rnacentral:lncRNA from 1 species